rnacentral:rRNA from 1 species
UGAUGAAAGGUGACCUCUUCAUGAAAGUUGCCGUUUAGGGAGGAGCCCGCGUACCAUUAGCUUGUUGGCGGGGUAAUGGCCCACCAAGGCUACGAUGGUUAGCUGGUCUGAGAGGAUGAUCAGCCACACUGGAACCGAAACACGGUCCAGACUCCUACGGGAGGCAGCAGUAAGGAAUUUUGCGCAAUGGGGGAAACCCUGACGCAGCAACGCCGCGUGAGUGAAGAAGGCUUUCGGGUCGUAAAGCUCUGUCAAGUGGGAAAAAAGCUUGCCGAUGAAUAGUCGGUAGGUCUGAUGGUACCGCUAGAGGAAGCACCGGCUAACUCCGUGCCAGCAGCCGCGGUAAUACGGAGGGUGCGAGCGUUGUUCGGAAUUAUUGGGCGUAAAGAGCGUGUAGGCGGGUUGGCAAGUCAGAUGUGAAAGCCCUGGGCUCAACCCAGGAAGUGCAUUUGAAACUGCCUUUCUAGAGUAUGGGAGAGGAGAGUGGAAUUCCCAGUGUAGAGGUGAAAUUCGUAGAUAUUGGGAGGAACACCCGUGGCGAAGGCGACUCUCUGGACCAAUACUGACGCUGAGACGCGAAAGCGUGGGGAGCAAACGGGAUUAGAUACCCUGGUAGUCCACGCCGUAAACGAUGAGAACUAGGUGUAGCGGGUAUUGACCCCUGCUGUGCCGGAGCUAACGCAUUAAGUUCUCCGCCUGGGGAGUACGGCCGCAAGGCUAAAACUCAAAGGAAUUGACGGGGGCCCGCACAAGCGGUGGAGCAUGUGGUUUAAUUCGACGCAACGCGAAGAACCUUACCUGGGUUUGACAUCCUCUGACAGUCUCGGAAACGGGAUCUUUCCUGCUUGCAGGAACAGAGUGACAGGUGCUGCAUGGCUGUCGUCAGCUCGUGUCGUGAGAUGUUGGGUUAAGUCCCGCAACGAGCGCAACCCUUGUCUUUAGUUGCCAGUAUUAAGUUAGGCACUCUAAAAAUACUGCCUCGGAUAACGGGGAGGAAGGUGGGGAUGACGUCAAGUCCUCAUGGCCUUUAUACCCAGGGCUACACACGUGCUACAAUGGGCUGUACAAAGGGUUGCUAUCCCGCAAGGGAACGCCAAUCCCAAAAAGCAGUUCUCAGUUCGGAUUGGAGUCCGCAACUCGACUCCAUGAAGUCGGAAUCGCUAGUAAUCGUGGAUCAGCAUGCCACGGUGAAUACGUUCCCGGGCCU